GACAAGAACACGGACACUUCCCAGGUACCAGCGUGGAUGUGACACGUCCUAGGGGGUGGUCCCAAAACGGCACUCUAUUCCCCGCCAAGUGAACAGCUUGCCAGGAUCUCCGGACAGAGUUAUUGAACUUUGCAGGUAAUAGGAUGCCAUUUCGGGGAUAUACCGGAACUAGAAAAUAUGUUGGUGGGACGAUGCGGUUGGAUGUUCAACUGUUACCACGCGAUGUUGUUGAGAAUGAGCCUUGGACUCACAGCUGAGUUGGCCCUACAGCAACUGAAAGAUAAAACACCUCUACAAUCAUGGCGGAAGUAUCUCUCCCUGGGUUUCCUUCAGCCUUGAGCACCAAGAGAAAGAGUCAAAGAGAGAAAGAAAAUAAGAAAGUAAAAGAGAGCAAAUAAAAG